rnacentral:rRNA from 1 species
CGCUGGCGGCGUGCUUAACACAUGCAAGUCGAACGAGAGGACAAGAGAAGCUUGCUCUUUGGAAUCGAGUGGCAAACGGGUGAGUAACACGUAAACAACCUGCCUUCAGGAUGGGGACAACAGACGGAAACGACUGCUAAUACCGAAUACGCUUGGGAGACCGCAUGAUCUACCAAGGAAAGGGUGGCCUCUACCUGUAAGCUAUCGCCUGAAGAGGGGGUUUGCGUCUGAUUAGGCAGUUGGUGAGGUUAAACGGGCCCNCCAAACCUACGAUCAGUAGCCGGUCUGAGAGGAUGAACGGCCACACUGGAACUGAGACACGGUCCAGACUCCUACGGGAGGCAGCAGUGGGGAAUCUUCCGCAAUGGGCGAAAGCCUGACGGAGCAACGCCGCGUGAGUGAAGAAGUAUUUCGGUAUGUAAAGCUCUAUCAGCAGGGAAGAAAAUGACGGUACCUGACUAAGAAGCCCCGGCUAACUACGUG